AACUUUCGGCAACGGAUCUCUUGGUUCUGGCAUCGAUGAAGAACGCAGCGAAAUGCGAUAAGUAAUGCGAAUUGCAGAAUUCCAGUGAGUCAUCGAAUCUUUGAACGCACAUUGCGCCCUUCGGUAUUCCGAAGGGCAUGCCUGUUCGAGCGUCAUUAUCACCCCUCAAGCCCCCGGCUUGGUGUUGGACGGUUUAGCCUUGGGUGACGAGGCCCGUUUUAAAAUCAAUGACGGCGGCCUGUUCGACCCCCGGUACACUGAGCUUCUGAACUGAGCACGUAUCGGUUGAAGGGUAGGCAGGACCCGGUCUUCUUUCUUAACCGGAAACUCUUUUCAAGGUUGACCUCGAAUCAGGUAGGGAUACCCGCUGAAUUUAAGCAUAUCAAUAAGCGGAGGCU
rnacentral:misc_RNA from 1 species